UUCCAGAAGGGAUAUAUCUUUGUAACAUCAGUGACUAUUUUGCAUAGGGAUUCCAUUCCUGACCCCUGAGUACAUCGGUGGAGUGUGCAUAAGCCCACCCAAUUCUGCUCCUGCCCCUUUUCAGACACCUUACAUGCACCAAUCGGACACAUGUAAAAUGUUCGCUGUGGUGAGCAUCUCUCAUGUGAUUUAUGUGUGUCUAAGUAAUAUCACUCUUUUAUGGCAAACAAUUAAUGAAAUCAAGCAAGCAAGCAAAGAAACAAACAAACAAAUAAAAUGAGUACUAGCACCCAUGAUUUUAUAUCUUCUCCCUUCCCCCUUUUGAAAUUUAAACUUUGCUUUCCACAAAUAAGAAAUCCCACUGUGAUUUUUACAGGAGUUAAACUGAAAAGUAGGAGAGUUUGGUCUAGCCGCCCUUGCAUUGUAGUCAGUUCACUCCUCUCAAUCCCCAUCUGAAAGCAAUUGAAUAAUUGCAUAAUGGGUUUAGGCUUUCAGCCGCUGAAAUAAUGCCAUUAUGAGUAACAGACGGAAUGUCCAGGACGAGAGGACAACUUCUAACCCUACUGAAACAUCCACAUUUGACUGUUAUUUUCAGUUGAAAAUCCAAGUAUAUGUACAUGUUGAAAGAAGAUCAAGUAAGGUAGAAAAAAAUGUCAUGAAUGAGAGAGACUGUUGCAAAAUAUUAGCAAUCCUUUAUGUCAUUUUGAAAUUCUCUUUGUCUUAUCUCACAAUCAGUGCACUUUGAACACUCUAAGCAAAGUUUAGGAAAGUACUGUUUUCUCGAAAAUACUACAUGUUAGGGCCACUGCUUCUCAGUGCUAUUUUUCUCAGAAAAGAGGUGUGAGAACUCAGCAUUAACACCUCCCUUGUUCUUACAAUGGCAAUGCCACCCACCUGAGAGGUGCCAGAACUGAGUUCCGGUGAAUUCCAGCCGAAGAAAAGCCCUGCUACUUCUAUUUUUUUCUACCAAUACCCUUCAGUCACUAUAUAUGGUCAUAUAUAUGUCAUAUUUCAGUGAACAAAGGGCUGCUGUAACAACCAUGUGUGACAUAGCUACAGAUUUUAUAAAAGCGGCAGAUCAGGUACAAUGCUUCAGAAACUCGCAUAACAUCUGAGUAGACAGUUGGGGCACAGAGGAGCAAAGGAUAAUGUCUCUGUUCCUGGAUCCUUGAAACAUCAAGAACAAUGUCAAGCCGAAGAGGUAGUACAUAUGCCAGCAGGAGGAUCACUCGUAGAGGUUCUACCAGAGGGAGGAGCAGAAGAUGCAAGUCAGGUGCAGAAAUGCCAAUUAAAAAAAGGAAAGGGUAUGUCCGCGUCUGUGCAGUAUACUAUUACUGGAAAGGAAGAAAAUGAUUUCCAGUGAUUCCCUUUCCAUUGCUUAGAACUUCCAUCUUCUGCAUUGGUGAAUCACAGUGACAUCUCCCAUAACAUGGAAACCCAUCAGAUAA